UUGUCUCUCUUGAGUGGAUCCUGAGUACGACGGAGCACGUGAAAUUCCGUCGGAAUCUGGGAGGACCAUCUCCUAAGGCUAAAUACUCUCUAGUGACCGAUAGUGAACCAGUACCGUGAGGGAAAGGUGAAAAGCACCCCGGAAGGGGAGUGAAAUAGAACCUGAAACCGUGUGCUUACAAGUAGUCAGAGCCCGUUAAUGGGUGAUGGCGUGCCUUUUGUAGAAUGAACCGGCGAGUUACGAUUUGAUGCAAGGUUAAGCAGUAAAUGUGGAGCCGUAGCGAAAGCGAGUCUGAAUAGGGCGUUUAGUAUUUGGUCGUAGACCCGAAACCAGGUGAUCUACCCUUGGUCAGGUUGAAGUUCAGGUAACACUGAAUGGAGGACCGAACCGACUUACGUUGAAAAGUGAGCGGAUGAACUGAGGGUAGCGGAGAAAUUCCAAUCGAACCUGGAGAUAGCUGGUUCUCUCCGAAAUAGCUUUAGGGCUAGCCUCAAGUGAUGAUUAUUGGAGGUAGAGCACUGUUUGGACGAGGGGCCCCUCUCGGGUUACCGAAUUCAGACAAACUCCGAAUGCCAAUUAAUUUAACUUGGGAGUCAGAA
rnacentral:rRNA from 1 species